rnacentral:sRNA from 1 species
AGGCGCUUGUCCACACCGGUUCCUCCGCGCCACCCACGCCUAGCCGACGACCGCCCGGUACGUCUUGCUGGCU